rnacentral:rRNA from 1 species
UACAGAGGGGGCAAGCGUUGUUCGGAAUUACUGGGCGUAAAGGGCGCGUAGGCGGGCCGCCGCGUCCGGGGUGAAAUCCUCCCGCUCAACGGGAGAACGGCCUCGGAUACGGGCGGCCUGGAGGGGGGUAGGGGCGUGCGGAACUGUGGGUGGAGCGGUGAAAUGCGUUGAUAUCCACAGGAACUCCGGUGGCGAAGGCGGCACGCUGGACCCCACCUGACGCUGAGGCGCGAAAGCCAGGGGAGCGAACGGG